CGCGUGUGUGUCACAUCAUUGUGUGCUGUCGGCGCGAUUCGACGUAGAUUGUUCUGUGAAAUUGCCAGACUCAAGAAACUGAAUCUUACCUGUGGUCAGUACUCAAAGGAAAUACAGUAUAAAAACAAUCUGCAUGCAUACAGGCUCAGCAGAACCGUGAAAUUCUUACUAACACAAUAUAAAAGAAAAAUCUAUAAAUUCUCUUCUAUCAAGUUUGGGCGUGGAACAGUUAAUUUGCUUGAAGAUGCCUGGUUUAGAGAUAAAACAUGUCUCCUAAAAUGUGCGUGGACGAAAUAGCAGUCAGAGAUUGGUGAUUAAUAUGGAAGAUUGUAGAAAUUCUGUGCAAUCACAGUAAGAAUACAAAAAACAGUAAGUAAAGAAUUUCCCGUGUGGUUCUGGCAUAGAAAAGGCCAC
rnacentral:lncRNA from 1 species